GUCCAUAUGGUGUAGUGGCAACAUACUCUCUUAGGGUGGGAGUGACCCCAGGUUCGAACCCUGGUUUGGACC
rnacentral:tRNA from 1 species